rnacentral:rRNA from 1 species
AGCUCCAAUAGCGUAUAUUAAAGUUGUUGCAGUUAAAAAGCUCGUAGUUGGAUUUCGGGGCGGCCUGUCUGGUCCGUCGCGAGACGAGUACUGAUCAGCCGCCCUUCCUCUCGAAAGCCCUGACUGCUCUUCCCUGCAGUGGUCGGGUAGUUCGGGACAUUUACUUUGAAAAAAUUAGAGUGUUCAAGGCAGGCUGUGGCCUGAAUACAUUAGCAUGGAAUAAUGGAAGAGGACCUCGGUCCUAUUUUGUUGGUUUCUGGGGCCGAAGUAAUGAUUAAGAGGGACAGUUGGGGGCAUGGGGGCAUUCGUAUUUAAUUGUCAGAGGUGAAAUUCUCGGAUUUAUGAAAGACGAACAACUGCGAAAGCAUUUGCCAAGGAUGUUUUCAUUAAUCAAGAACGA